GGCUGGUCCGAUGGCAGUGGGUUAUCAGAACUUAUUAACAUUAGUGUCACUAAAGUUGGUAUACCACCCCCCCACUGCUAAAUUUGACUGGCUAAAA
ensembl:misc_RNA Y_RNA Y RNA